UGCGAGAUCAUGACCUGAGCCAAAGUGGAAUGCUUAACCGACUGAGCCGCCCAGGCACUUCCAUUGAUCUUUUAAACGUGAGACCUCAGUGUGACAUUUCUGACGUGACAAGUGGAGUUUUAUGAUUAGUAUUACUUAAGAUGGUAUAUAAUAUUACUUGCCUUAAUGAGCUGUAAAUCUUGCCUUCUGAGUCAUAAAAUCUCAUGCCAUUAUCGUGAAAAGCCUUGAUCAAAGUGAGAGUGGUGAAAGUUGUAGAAUUCAAGAAAUAGUAGCCCAGUAUUUGUUGUUACAUCUUCUGGGCUAGGUGCAUUGGUUCAGGGAAAUGAUAGGACUGUAACUGUAACAAAACUGACUAUGAUUGAAGCAAAAAGGAAUGAAAGCUACUUAAAGGAAAGAUCCAAGUUUUGGAAAGGCCAACAAAGCCUCUGGUUACUUUUUGUUUUUGCCAAAGAAUGGUAGCAGACAUGAAUUGAGAGGAGCUGUGGACUAAACGAUAGGUUCUCUUGAUGGAUGUGGAACAAAUUUGGGGUUUACAGAUAAGUGAGUGAUCGAGGCAUAGAGUAGGAAAAGUGUGUCUGUCAAUUAGUUAUGUUUUCCCUGAAAUUUACUGAAAAUGACAGGGGCAGGGAUCUGUGAUGCAUGUGGGAAAGGAAGGAGUAGCAACUGCCUACAAAUAAGGCCAGCAUUCAGUUUUCCUUGGUUAAAAUUUGAGUAUCAAAAUACCAAACAGAAUCAUUUUAUGAACUUUCAAAAGCUUGUUGAUUUAAAAAAAAAUACAUUUUUACUUAGCACAAACCAUCAUCUAAAACCUAGGUAUAACUCAGAGCAGUCUUUAAUCUAAAUAUUUAAGUGUAAAUGACAAGUUAUUACUUUAAAGAAUGGCUCAGAAACCUAUAAACUUGAGAGUCAAGCCACUUAAUUUUGUAACUUUUGUCUAGAUACAAAUGUAUUUGGACUUCACAUGAUGAAAAACUAUGGGAAAGCUGAGCUAACUCAGACGUGUUUACUACUCUUAAUUUAAGCUCUAAGCGAAAGACAUGAGGCCUAAGACUGAAAUGAGGUUGUUUUGAGGCCAUCUGAUUUCUGACUAGAAGGUGUGCGAUCGCCUCGUCCUGAAACCACUUCAAACAGAAUGGUUUGCAAUUUUUUUUGGUGAUGGCAUGUUCAGAAUCUUGGAUCCCUAAGUUGAAUAUGUUGGAAAUAUUUAGGAACUCUACAAAUUAUCGUUUUGUAUAUAUAAUGACUUACUAGGUGAAUCAGUAGAUUUAAUAAAAAGUAAAUAAAAGAAUAGGUAUUAUAAUUUUGUGUUUCUAAGUUGACAUGCAUGUCUCAAAUUGUCAUCUAUCAGUAUUAGUGUCAUUCUCUGGAGACCAUUCUAUUUUGAAGAUUUGGAGGUUUUUACGGACCCCAUAUUUCCCCAGGUAGCUUACGUCUCCCCUGCCCCCCACCCCAUGUCAGCUCCUUUUCCUUUCUCCCACAAUGCAGUGUAGCUUACCUAGAUCAGAGGUAGUUAUUGAUCAGGAAGAGAUCAAAUGACAGUCCUAGAGGUAAUAAUAAUAAAACCUCAGCUUGGAAACGGUCUAUAUUAGAAUAUACAAAUUAUAUCCAAAUACACUUGUGACAAAAUGUUGAUUUUCAAUUUGGUUAUUAUUAUCUAGGAACAGAAGUGCUAAUGGGGUGGAAAAAGACGAGUGCAGUUUCACCUCCUCCCUCGCUCCCUAUUGUUGGGUGAAUGACUUAGGGGAAAGUAAAAUAGCCUAGAGGCAAGACCAUUUAAUUGAAAAGGAGAAAAAACAAAACUUUAAUCUCCAAGACAGAAUACUUCCGCUUAAAAAUGUGAAAGUUAGCUCUAUUCCGUGUACCUGAACAUAUUAUUUUAAAACUGUGGGCUCAGUUUCACAUAGACCAGAGUGUGAGCUAGGGUCUGUUUGACCAUAGGAAGGGCUGGAGAGCUUGUUAUUUGCUAGGAGAGUCAGACGGACCUUGGGUGACAGUCUUGGUUGACUUGUUCCCUGGCCUGUUCCUGCUGGAUUAAGGGGUUUGAGGAAUGUUCUGGGUUUUGAUGUUCAAAUAAUACAACAGCCUCCCUAUCCCUAUGACCAAAACUGAGGAAAAAUUGAUUUUUAGGACUGUAUUUAGAACAGCUUGGCAAAGGAUCAUAGAUUAAGGCUGAGAAGAAUUCAAGGAACUAUGGAGACUGAGUGGUAGUUCGAUAGAAUGUUACUGUAUUUGUUUAUUAGAAGUUUUAUUAUUGGUAGAUUAUCUAAAAAUACGGAAGUUUGUGUAUAACCCAAGUUUCCAUAACAUUUCUAUUAGAAGUCUUGCUUUAAGAGGAUUUGACUGAUAAAUAUAUUUAAUAGGGGUAGCACAAUGAAAAACAGUCGAUUUUUAAAAAACAGGUUACAUUUUAAUUUAAAUGUGUGUUGCCUAAAUUUGCUGUUUUCCCAUUACAACUGGCUUUUUAAAAACUCUCCUUCUGUGAUACUUUUAUCAAUAGAGGUGUUUCCUCUUAGCCAAUUCUAGCCACAGUAUUGACUGGGCCUCGGCACAUGAUAUGUCCAGAAGGAAUUAGACAGACAGGAAAAAACUUGGUCUCUACUGGAAUGAAUAUUUUAAAAACCUUCUUGGAUUCUGAAUACUUUGAGUUCAAAUGAAAGAGACCUGAGAGAAGGGAAAAUUUAAGACCCCAAGAAUAAAAAAAUGGUGGUGGGAGAUAAACCCUUACAUAGCUAACUAAGUAAUAAGGGAAGGAAAUUAAUUUCCUGGAGAUUAUGAUACAGAAUAUGAAAUCCCUUGGAUAGUAGGCAUUCUUAGACUCACGGGUAAUUCACACUAGCACACUGCAGUCUUGUAAGGAUAGUGGCACGUGAUCUGAGGAAAUAUUAAUGAAUUUCCUACAUGGAGUUGGAUGUUUAUUUUAGUGUGUUACAAAUGGGUAUGCAGCUCAAAAAUGAACAUAAUUCAAAAUAAGUAUCUUAGAUACAAGAGAAAAUACUAUAGAAAGUGGAUCUUUUCUCCCUAUUGUACAAUGUUAGAAAGUAAUGUAGAAAAUGGAGCAUGGUAGAGAAUUGAUGGCAUGACUAUAAUCAGUAUUUGAUGGUUGUUUACUAGAAACUUCUAAAUAAAACCUUACAUUUGUUCAGUGUUGUCCUUGGUUGUACUGUAACAGAAUUUUAGUGAGAAAAUGUGUUCCUUCUUGGGUCACUCUACUCCAUAGUCGGGUACAUCACUAUGAAAAUGGAGAAAUCUAAGCUUCUUUACCCAGGGAGGAACAGAUCUUUGUAAAUUUGGGUACAGAAAUUGCAUAGAGACACAGAGAGGAGGUGAGCCUAGAACAGUUCUUUGUAUCUGGGCACUUUUUGACCACCUUUUGAAAAUCUGAUGGUAACUAUGGAUCCUUUUUCCCAAGACUGCAGUUUCUGAGGGUAGAGGGUCUGCUCUUGGCUGUCAUGUCAGGAAGCCCUGAUCUAAAAGAUCAUCUUCAUUUCCCUUCUGACCUUGCUCUGACUUUAUUGUCACUGUCUGUCAGGGGUUCUCAAAUGGAGCUACAAGUCUUGAAGGACACUCACGGCCUUCCACAUUGAACUGAAGCCUCACGUCCAGAGCUCUGUAACAUAACGGAGCAGACAGACAUCGGUCACAGAGUGGUACAAAGAGAGCCUGAGGCGGUGAGGGGGGCACAGCCUCCUCCCUACUGGUGCAGGGGUGCUUGUUCCAUAGUAAGUUGACUCUUAAUGUUUUGUUUUUAAAGUGAGCAUACUUUUUCUAAAACCUCAAAUUACUAUAAAGGUGUUCUACCUAAGUGUGACUUUUUCCUCAUGUGUUAAGAUGUCGCAUUAAUGGUGUGAAAUGUGUACUUCAAAUUAACAUAGUAACUGGGAACCUGGGAUUCUGUUAUUUUGUGACUCUGAAAAUUAUAACACGUUUUCAGGGGAAUUGUUGAGAUUGCCCAAUAAUUCAUUCUUUAUUCCUUUCAAGUUCCUGAAUGUAUUAUUGUCUCUGAAUCUUAUUAAGCCAUUUAUAAGAUUAGACAAAACUGUCUUCAGUUCAUAUUUUGGCACAGAAUGGAUACAUUGAAUUGAUCUUAUUAGAAAUGUAUUUUGACAAAAAAUCCUAUUUGAGUGGCUCUCAUCUUCAUUUUGGAAUCUCAGAUCUCCUGCUUGUUAUGUUGUUCAUUGGGACCUUGCUGCAAAAUACAGCUUCACUCAGAAGGUCAUCCUUGAAAAACCAAGAAAUCUGAAGAAACUUAUUUUGGGACUGAGUAAAGAGACGGAAGAGCAUCGGCAGAUUGACAACGCAGCACACUCUGGAAACAUCUUAGACUGCACCGCCUUUGUACAUGAAACAAUUUGACUGUUUUAUGAACUGGACCUAUAUAGAGAGAAAACAACCUCAUAAAAUGUAUCUUUAAUGUAAGGAAACAGGACUCUGGCCUCUAAAACAUUUCUGUCAGGACCAUUUGCUCUGACUACUCACUGAUGGAAGGAGGAGCUUGGGUCAUUGAACUUGACUGAAAGUUAGAUGCCACGUAUUCCGGAUCUGAGGGUGUUUCUUAAUUUCAUCGGGAUAUAGUGUUUUGGGCUUUCGCAGCAUCUGCCUCCCAUGUGCCUUUCCUGUCCCCUGAGAAAGGGGCUUGAGUUCAUCUGUGCCCUGAUACUUGUUCUCUGUCCUUUCUUUUCUGGACUGUUGACUUAAAUUUGGGGGAGACGUGGAGCACACAGGAUUCCUGUUAAAUCUACCCUGCUUUCCCUCCCCAGUCAUUGUGUUGCAUUUCCUUUUCAGCUCUUCUCAGUGUUGCCCAAUUUUAGCCCCUUGGUUAGGUCAAGGUGGCAUUAAAAUCGCACCUUCUUAGGCUCCCUUCCCGUGUCCUGUUUGUUCUGCCCGUAGUGGGCGGUUUUCAGUUGUACUGCAGAGGUGCCCACGUGGCUUCUCAUUUCCCUCCCCCUUCCCGUGUGUUCUGCUGUAGAAGGAAAACAGAUCGAGCCUUGGGGAUUUGAGCUGUGUAAGGUUUGCCUCCACGGCUUCACAGCUCAGUAUUUAAAAUACAGCCUUAUAGUUGUGCUGCCAACAGUAGUCUCCUUCGUACCUUGGCUCUGCGCUGGGCACUGUCCCCGCAUCCUCUCCACUGCUCGAUUCUCGAGGCCAGGAAUGGACCGCAUGGUGCCUUCUGCACAGGGUCAACGACAGCUUCCUCUCCGGAGCUUGUAGUUCCGGGGCCGUGAGUUAGGGAGGGAUUGAAGAGAUCCCCGUGUCCUCCCCUGGACUCGCGUAAAAGCAGAUCACGUGCAGAGAAAGUCCUAAUGCCAGGAUGAUUUUGAAAGCAGGAUUUACCAAAUUUAGUUCAACCAUGAACCUGCAUUGACUACCUUGGUGUGCCAUACUUUCAACAAAAUGAAAGCCUAACCCUCGAAAAACCUUACCAGAUUAACCCUGACGUAAGUCCAAUGUGAUAUGACUCAAAGUUUUUACAAGUAGUUUUCAGAAACGUGCAAAUAUGUUUUGUGUAAAAGAGUAUAUACUGUAUAUAAUAAUUUUGUUCUAAUAAAUAUUAAACUUAAGUGGUCUCAGUAUUUAAAACCUAGUAGUUUGAAAUCACUUUCUUGAGUAACAUUUUAAAGUACAUAAUCUUUUUACUUUUCAUGUAAUGUGCAAGUAUUCUUAGAAGCUGUUUACAUGUGUUUGUUCUCCACAUGUAAAACUACUGUGUCCUCAGUAAGAGUUUCUGAACCUUUUGGCUGUAAUUACCAAGUGCUUGGGAUUGGGCCGGCUGGAAAUGCAUAUUGAGCUUUUCUGUGUAUGUAGCACACUUUGUCUAAAUAAAGUAGCUUUGUACCCUGAA